rnacentral:rRNA from 1 species
UACGGGGGGAGCAAGCGUUGUUCGGAUUUACUGGGCGUAAAGGGCGCGUAGGCGGCCACCGCAAGUCAGUUGUGAAAUCUCCGAGCUUAACUCGGAAAGGUCAACUGAUACUGCGGGGCUAGAGUGCGGAAGGGGCAACUGGAAUUCUUGGUGUAGCGGUGAAAUGCGUAGAUAUCAAGAGGAACACCUGCGGCGAAGGCGGGUUGCUGGGCCGACACUGACGCUGAGGCACGAAAGUGUGGGGAUCAAACAGG